rnacentral:rRNA from 1 species
UACGAAGGGUGCAAGCGUUACUCGGAAUUACUGGGCGUAAAGCGUGCGUAGGUGGUGAGUUAAGUCUGAUGUGAAAUCCCCGGGCUCAACCUGGGAAUGGCAUUGGAUACUGGCUCGCUAGAGUGCGGUAGAGGGUGGUGGAAUUCCCGGUGUAGCAGUGAAAUGCGUAGAGAUCGGGAGGAACAUCUGUGGCGAAGGCGGCCACCGGGACCAACACUGGCACUGAGGCACGAAAGCGUGGGGAGCAAACAGG